GUUGUUGUUAUAGACACGGGAUUUUCCAUAAAAACAACGAAAGAUUUAGAUCUCACAGUUGAUAAAGUGAAGAAGCAUUAUGUACCUCCCAUUGAUGAUGUAAAGAACAAUGAUGAUUUCUUUAUCAAAAAUUUUCUUAACGAACAUAACGUUAUUCGAGAUGAGAUUCUUGACAAAUUAAACAGUUUUUCUUGGAUUUGUGGUGGAUAUGGUGUACGGUGGAAACCUCGUCUUUCUUUGUUUGUGACUGUAGCAGCAGAAAGACAAAAUGACGAAGAUGCAUUAAGAAAAGAAAUUGAUGAAACUUUUGGAUGGAAAGCUUCUCAAUACUUUGAAUUUGUACCGGAGCCACUAGAGAAAUCGAAAUUUC